GUUAAAAAGCUCGUAGUUGGAUCUCGGCGGGCAGGAGGCGGUCCGUUAUUUGACGCGACUGCCUCAUUUGCCCGUGUUUCUUCGGCAGAACUCCCGGGGUGCUCUUCGCCGAGUGUCCCGUUGGGGGCUGCCAGGUUUACUUUGAAAAAAUUAGAGUGCUCCAAGCAGGCUCGACACGCCUGAAUAUUCGUGCAUGGAAUAAUGGAAUAGGACGUCGUUCCUAUUUUGUUGGUUUUCGGGAAUCGACGUAAUGAUUAAUAGGGACAGCCGGGGGCAUUAGUAUUCAGACGACAGAGGUGAAAUUCUUGGACCGUCUGGCGACUCACUGCUGCGAAAGCGUUUGCCAAGUAUGUUUUCAUUAAUCAAGAACGAAAGUUAGAGGUUCGAAGGCGAUCAGAUACCGCCCUAGUUCUAACCAUAAACGAUGCCAGCUAGCGAUCCGCAGACGUUUUUAUUGUAGGCUCUGCGGGAAGCUUCCGGGAAACCAAAGCGUUUGGGUUCCGGGGGAAGUAUGGUUGCAAAGCUGAAACUUAAAGAAAUUGACGGAAGGGCACCACCAGGCGUGGAACUUGCGGCUUAAUUUGACUCAACACUGGAAAUCUCACCAGGCCCGGACACCGGAAGGAUUGACAGAUUGAGAGCUCUUUCUCGAUUCGGU
rnacentral:rRNA from 1 species